rnacentral:lncRNA from 1 species
AGGCAUCUCCCUGCUCGAGCCAAUGUCCCCUCACCAAUGCCUGCUGCCCAUAGGACUUAGGAAACAAACGUUUUCCUUUAAAAAAAAAUCAAAAUUUAAAAGUCAAAAAAGGAAGAUGAAAGAAGAGAGAGAGAGAGAAGAAGUGAAUUAUACUCCAAAAAUAUGUCCCUGCUGUGGCCCGGCCCCUGACGCUGUCACCCUGCUCGGACCUUGUUUUCUCAGGAUGGAUUUUGAGCUGUUGUGACUCUCAGCACCUACCUCAGCCGGAAUGAAUGUCCUUGGGGGUAGUGGGGCAGUAGCCUCCGCCUCUACCCCACAGAGCCCGAAAGCACUCCUACCUCAAGCCCCUUAAUGGGGGCCCCUCCCACCUAUAUUGCUGCCCAGAGU